ensembl:lincRNA
AAACCGUGCGCAGGGGGCCCUGGACGGCGCGGCCUGAGAGAGGCUCACGGGCUCCAGUGCAGAGGUGCAGGGGCUACACCGAGUGCAGGGAUAAUGACUCUGGGAGGUUCACGGCCCCCUGAGCCCCGCCCGCCCCCUGCGCCACGCCAUUGGCUCAGGUGCCGAGAGGCGGGGGAGGGGCAGGGGGCGGGCCGGGGAUGAUUCACCUUGAAUGUGGCUCCGGUUGGUGCACAGCGCAGGGCACGCCCGACCAGGACUGCGGAGACGCUGGGAGCCCCGCCAGCUCGCCCAGCUCGGCCGGCUCUGGACCCAAGGGGUCUGGCCGCCCGCCCUCGCUCCUUGCAUCCUGCCUUCAGGCCAAGGUGCAGCUGGCCGAGAUGCGCCCCAACGCCCGGCCACCCCAUCGCCCUCGGAGCCGGGAGAUGGCCGAGGCGUGCGUAGGGUAGCAAGCUUGGAAAUCCGAUCCUGGACUGGGGGAAGGGAAGUGCGUUUGGAGCUGAGACGCACUGAGGGGCCACUGGACGGAUCUCCGCAGUCUCCCCCACAGAAAGCAGGUUCCCCCGUCUUGUUCGGCCCGCGGCAACGUCCUCCAGCUAGAGACCCUUUCGUCUUUGCCGUAGACAUCAUCCGACUCAGCCUGAAGCUGGGCAUCCGCGACGUGUAGUUUUGAAUUCCUCGACCCUCGGGAAGGACCCCAGAAUCUUUAGGAAGGACUGCUUUACUUACUUCACCGUGGAGUACUCGGCUCCCUUAGCUCCGACCCGGGACACGGCCCCUUUCUCUCGGAGUCUCGACUUUCGUCUCCGGCCAUCUCAGUUCUUUCCUGACCCUCGCCCCACUCUGCUUCCCUAAUAAUCCCCAACCUCGCCCUCUCCAUGGCAGUUCCCCGUUGUGAUGAAGAUGCCUGGCUAAGAGAUCAUCCACCCCGCCUUGGCCUCACGCUCUCUUCCCACUCUACCAGGCAGGGCUACCGGAGGUGGGGGAGGCAGGCGUCCGAACCCCACCUAGACCCUCCCGGACGGGGGCAGUUCUGUCACUGUGACUGGCCUGGCUCCGACUCGCCGCGGCCCGUUACCGACCCUGGCUCUCAGCCCCAAGAAGUGGGUAACUAGCAUCCCCCAGUGAGACCCAGCCCCGGCUUCAAGUCCUUCUGCGCUCUAGUUACCAGGUGGGCGUUUUUCGGUGAUUCAUUUCACUGCCUAGAGCCUCAGUUUCCCCGUUUGCAAAAUGGGUCGAGUCCACCUCUCCGUAGGAUUAAAAGAAUGCUCGCGUAGGCUCGCCGGUAUUUCGUGACCCGUGUAUCUCUACAAAUUACAGACUCCCAGUGUUAUCACUGUAGCUGACCCAGCAUCCCCGCCUGGGAGAUGCCUUCCGGGUGCCUCACCCCGCAGCCAGCCGCACCCCAAGCUCCCGGUGCCGCUCCAGGAGAUCUCGCCACCACCACCCACUCCUUGUCAGGACCUUGCUGGGGGCUCCAGUCCUCUUGGGCGGGGGCGCAGAGCUGUCUUUCGAUCUUGGCCCAGGCCCAGCCCUUGGGGCUUUGUUCUAAAAUCUUAGAUGUGAUGUGCUUCGUCGGCUCGCACAGGGAUGUUCGAAACCCAGUUAAUCCCCCGACAUUUUUCGAAAAGCAGUGUGUUUGUGUCUCUGCGUUUUUCUUUCCGGCAGUGCAGCCAUCUCUGUAAGGUUCGCAAAGGGCAGCGAACCCCGGAGAUUCAGCUCCGGCUGGAGUGUGGGGCCGGAGGCAGAGAGCGAAUGAGAGGAUGGAGAAAGAAUGAGAAAAACAAAAUGAAAGGCGAUCUUGUCUUAGGAAUCUGCCUAGCUUUUUUUAAAAGUGAGGGGGAAAAAAUAUACAGUGGUUAUAUAGCCUGGAGAAUAUUCUGAAUGUUAAGUGAAUAACGAAAAGGACACAUCGGUCUGUUUGCGGAAAAAUACAAAUGAGGGAGUAUCUAGGUGUCAUUUAUUUUAUGCGCAGAAAUUCUCUGCCGGGAGACCCAAGACCUAGCAAACAGGGGUGGUUUCCAUGUAGGAGAACUGGGGGCCAGAGGGCAGGGGGCUUUCAGCUGUAUGUCCUUCUGGAUUAUUUGAAGCCUAUGUGUUUAUCACAUGCUUGUAUUACAUUUUCCAUUUAAAAAGCAACUUCAGGAAUCGGUUUUAUAAAAAUCUGAUUUGAGAUGUUGAAGCCUGGAGUAGUCAAUCACAGAGUGAGAGAGCUGAGCCCCAGAGAUGAUGAGCUGGGUUAGGAGAGCGCAGGGGUUGGGUGGAGGGGCGCCUUGGGAUUCUCUGCUCAGGGGAGACACAGGUCCAGAACUCCUGCUGAGAGUAGGGGCAGAGGGAAGCCAG